UUGGAUGUAGUAGCCGUUUCUCAGGCUCCUUCUCCGGGGUCGAGCCCUAACCCUCCGUUACCCGUUGCAACCAUGUUUGGCCAAUACCCAAACAUCGAAAGUUGAUAG
rnacentral:rRNA from 1 species